rnacentral:tRNA from 1 species
CCCAUUAGCUCAGUCGGUUAGAGCGUCGAUCUAAUAACUCGAAGGUCGCGGGUUCGGUCCCCGAUCAUGGG